CCGGGGCCCCGGCCCGCGGCCCUUUGCUCCGCAGCGGCUGCACCGGGCCGAGGCCGCUGCCGAGGUCUCCGCUCCCCUGUUCCUGCCCGGGGCCCGACACAGCCGCCGGGUGUUUCCCGCUGUCACUUGCCCUGCGGCGGGACAGCGGCCGCAUCCCUGCCGGAGGAUGAAGAGGAUCUUCGGGUUCGGGAGGAAGAAGAAGGGGCAGCCACCGCCCGGCAGCGCCGCCCAGCCCAGCCCCGCCGGUGCCUACGAACUCCGGCCUAAGGACCUGGGCAAGCUGCACCGAGCCGCCGCCAGCGGCGACCUGGCCCAGGUGCGGCAGGGGCUGAAGAAACACGGCAUCGACGGGCGGGACGGGGCGGAGCGGACACCUGUGCAUCUCGCUUGUGCAAAUGGCCAUGUGGAUGUUGUUGCAUAUCUGGUAGAAAACAAGUGCCAGCUAAAUCUUUUUGACAAUGAUAACAAGUCACCACUGAUGAAGGCAGUACAGUGCCAGCAAGAAAAAUGUGUGGCUGUUCUUCUGGAGCAUGGUGCUGACCCGAAUCUGGCAGACACUGAUGGCAACACUGCCCUGCAUCUGGCUGUGUUGUCUCCUAGUACAACUGUAAUGGGGCUGUUACUUGAUCACAAUGCCGAUAUUGAUGCCCAGAAUAAGGAGGGAUGUACUCCACUUAUUCUUGCUGUCUCCGAACAUCAAGAAGAGAUAGUAGAGUUUCUCCUCAAGAAAGGAGCUGAUGUGCAUGCCCGAGAUCAGUGUGAAAGAACCCCACUUAUGACUGCUGCUUCUGCUGGGGAGCUUAGUCUGAUAAAAGUUCUUCUUCGGUAUGGUGCUGAUGUUACCCAUAAAGACACUAAUGGCUGGACAGCUGAGGAUUAUGCUGUUAUUCAUGGAUAUUCUAGUCUUAGUAAACAUCUGGCAGAACAUGCAGACUGGGAAAACACAGGAGAAGCUUCUGCAAGUGGUGCACAAGGCUUCACAGUACUUGGCACUCCUUACCGGGUAGGAGCCGCUGGCUUAACUUUGGGUGCACCUGCUGUCGACAGAGGAGGAAUGCAACAAUCUCCUAACCAGACAUCAAGAACAGGAAAAUCAAGGAAAGCAAUAGAUGACGUUUCCCAAGGAGACUCAGUAAGAAGCUCUGAGAAGGAGAGGAGUGAUGACAGUUGGCAUACUUCUGAAGAAGAAGAACUUGAUUUUACCCCCAAGAAGCUGCAGAAGCCAAACUUGACUCUCUUAAUGAAUGCUUCCCAGCAGCUCAGGAAAAACAUUGAUGGUGACAGUUCGAAAAUUGAAAGUCCUAAGUCACCAAAGAAAACCCCCAAAGAAAGAGCCUCGUCAGAUGUAAAUCUGAGCAGAGGAAGAGACAGAGAAUCGCUGAAUCAAGAUGUCUCGGAUACAAGCAACCUGGAGGAAGAAGAAUUGGAGGAGGAGGAAGAGGAGGAGGAGGAGGAAGAAGGUGAUGAAAAUGACAGUGGAGAUGAUGAGGAUUAUGAGGAGGAAGAGGAAGAAGAGGAGGAGGAUGAAGAACUUUCUCAUAAUGAAAAGGAGGAAGAUGAUCUGGAAGAAACUCAGUCUAAUGACAUACUGGAGGAAGAGCAAGGGGAGAAAACAGAGCCUAAAGAGGAAAUUAAUCAGAAAUUGGAGUAUUCCAGUAAUGCAAAGUAUGAAGGAGAAGCUUGGUGUGGAACUGGAGAUGUCAGUGAUGUGAAAAUAAGUGAAAAACUUGAUGAAAAGGUGGAGGAAUCUUUUGAUACUCCUGUGUCUUUUAUAGCUGGGUGUUAUGAAGGGUUGCAAGAAGAUACAACUCCUGUGUCAACUGCUGUGUCUCCAAAGAUAAUGAAUAAUGAAGUAUCUUGCAAGUCAGUACCAAAACAAGCUGUCUUUCCGAAUCUAAAUAAUUUGCAAGAUACACAAGAAAGCUGGAACCGGAAAAGCGUGAUUCAGGAGGAGUUUCACAGAAAUGCUGAGUCCUGUUUUGCAGAGUCUGAAAUGACAGACUGGAAAAAAGAGAUACCUCCAUCUCUCACAGAUAAUUGUGAUCGUAAUGAGAGAAAGUCAAGUCUCAGUAAUGACUCUGAAAGUGAUACUAGUUCUUGGUCAGCAGCAAAAAGCCCAGUGCUUAAAAGUCAGAGAGCGAACUCUGUUGUUCUUGAACAUGUAAACAAUGAAGAUACUGAAGCAGAAGAAGAUGAAGAAGUAGAUGAUAAAGUCUGUGAAGCACUGACACAUGAAAGUGAAAACUUGCCCUUAAAUGGGUACAAAGAAAGAUUAAGAGCAACAUUUCACUCAAGCACCAAAGAAGAAUCACCUGAAGAGGAAGAAAAGGAGGAGGAGCAGGAGAGUGAAGACAGUGGUGAAGAGCUACAGACUGCAGUUGUUGAGGGUGUAAAACGUUCUGUUUUAAAUGACAGCCAUCAAGUCCACACUGCUUCAAAAGACAACACUGGUGCCCUACCAGAAGUGGGAGCAGAGGAAGAGGAAGAUUCUGAUUCUCCUUGGGAUUCUGAGAUUAUACAAACGGAUUCUGAAAGUCUGAGAAAAGUAUCAUCCAGUGUGCUGCUCCCAGCUGCAGACCAACAUGGAGCAUGCUCACAGAUUGGUUCAGGGGAACGCAACAAUGGCUUUUCAGAGUCACUCAACAAUUCACAGCUGAAGACUCCUGAAUCUGUUUUGGAGAUGAAUGAAACCUCUCCUAAAAAAGCACAACCGAAAUCAGAUCUAUUGGAGGAAUUUGGUUUAGGAGACACAGAGUAUAUUGAAGGUGAGUACUCAGGAUCUGCCUUUCAUAUGUCAUCACCAGCUGAAAAUGAAGAUGUCAAGGGUGCUAUUGAAAACUAUGGGAUGCAGGAUAAAUAUAUUUUAGAAACUACCAACUUGGUAGAAAAAACAACACAAGAAAAUCAGACUGACAAAGCGGAAAUUUCACAUCAGGACAUCCAAGCAGAAAAUGAGGAAUCACACAGUGCUGACAAGCCUUUUAGUCCAAAACCUUGGGAAGAAAGAUAUGAAAGAAUGUGGGUUGAAAAUGAGAAAAGGGAAUUGAAAACAAAUUUUAAAAGCAUUACAGCAGAGCUGAAGCUGCUGUUUGGUGAAAUAAAGGAAACCGCUUCUCUUGUGGAAGGAAUGUCUGAAGAUGGCUUCAGUGAAGAAUGGAAGAGUUCUUGUGUUGUUUCCUCUCGUGCGACAGAGUCAAGUAAUAAGUUAGAAAGUAAAGGUCAAUUUGGAGAUGAUAAACUUAUGCUAGGUGGAAAAAUACCCAAAAUGGAAAUUGUAAUUCCGAGUCUUGGUGUCCUUCCUGAUCAAAAUAACUUAAAUGCAAACGUGGAAGAUAGCUGGAAUACAGAUGGAGAAGAUGGCACAAAUGAUGCAGAUGACACAAAGGUUCUUCCAGUAGAGGGAGAGGAAAAGAAAAUGCUUGCUAUGGAAAUAGAAGAGAAUGAAAAUGAAAGUAGUAGAAAUGUAGAGGAAAGCCCUGAAUACUUUACGAAGCACAACUUUAAAACAAGUAUUUUGGAUGACGUUUCUAGUAUUCUUCCUAAAAUAAGACCUGUUUCUACAAGUGUUGAAAAUACACUUUUUGUAACAGAAAGGAAGCUUGGAAAAGACUCUGGAUUUAACAGUGAUGUUUCCAGGGACUGCCUUAUUGGCAAUAGUAAGAUAGGAGAAACAGAAUCUGAAAGUCUUUUUGCAAACACUCAGCAAUCGUGUAGCAUGCUGAAAAGGAAUCUUGAUGAAGAACUAAAACAAGAUAUGGAAAGAUUUAAGAGUAAGGUGGGAAUGCUGCAAAUGGUAUUCCUGGCUUUGGCAAAGGAGAAAGUACAGCUGCAAAAAGAGGUUGAAAAGCAAAAACGCCAGGAAAAAUGUUUCAAAAUGCAGGCAGUGACAAAAGAAGAUCUUGAUAAACUAAAUACACCAUCAAGCAAUGUUACUGAUCAGCAAAUGAAACAAAAGCUGACUCUAAGAAUGAAUGACUCUUUGAACAUGGAGAAUGAAAUCACUCUAGAAGAAAAAGAGGAAACAAACUUAUCAUCUGAGGAGAGAUCAAAAUUGAUUAAAAUGCCGACAAAAGGUAAAUUUUCCCUGAAUGCCAAAGUUCCGAAGAAAAAUAGAGGACAGACUUCAAAACAGAAGGCUAACCAGCAGAUGAGCUCUUCCAGUGGGAAUCAUUUUCCAGUACUGGAAGAUAGCACUUUCAGUGAAACAUCUGAAGACGAAGGAAGAACUGCAGCAAAAACAGGGACUGAAAAGAACAAGGUCAGCAUGCAAAUCGAUGUAGCUGAUGAUGUGGAUUUAACUCACUCAUCUAACACAACUUCAGAGGAUGCUGAAUUACCACCUUCAACCUACCAAGAGGCUAUGUUCCUCUUGGAACAGCUUAGUGUGGGUCAUACCGGUUCUGAUAUUUUGUUGAAAAUUCGAAGCAUACUUCUUAAAUACGAACAGACAAUAGAACGUGAAAAGAAUCGGUAUGCAGCUGUCUGUAGAGAAGUAAAGAAACUGGAAAGCAAAAAGGAGGAGUCACAAUUAAUAGCAGAAGAGACUCAAGAUUUUAAAUCCGUAUUGGCUCCCCAGGAAGUGGAAUGGAAAAGUGAUAUCGAAAACCUUAAAUUUACUUUGAAACAAGAAGAGGAGAAGAGGCUCAGAGUAGAAUCGCUAUAUGAGAAAACAAGAGAAAAACUCAGAAGGAAAGAAGAUGAAUAUUGUAAAGAGAUGGAGGAGAAACGGCAGCUUGAGUUACAGUCAGGGAAUUUAGAAAUGGAAUUAAUGACACUGAAGAAGUUAUUGAAACAGGUUGAAGAGGAGCGUGAUGAAACACAGAGACAGCUCUCUUGGGAAAAGAAUGCCAGAGCCUUGCAAGAAGGAAUUUUGAAUCACCACCUUCAGAGACAAAAGGAACUAGAAGAAGAGACAAGAAGGACUGUCGUAAAAAACUCGGUGGAAUCUGAUGUUGAGAGAGAAAAGGAUUUGUUAUACAAAAAUCAGUUACUACAAGAUGAGAUUGCUAUGCUAAGAUUAGAACUUGAUCAAGCAAGACUUAGGCACCAGGAGGAAGAAGGGAAAUACUUAGAAGAAAAUGAAACUUUGAAAGAAAAAAAUGAAGAUCUCAAAAAGGAACUUAAGCUGAAUGAGGAAGCCUUAACACAAACAGCUUUUCAGUACAAUGCACAGCUAAACUUACUGAAGACAGAAUCUGUAGUGCUAACUUCCAAACUUGAGCAGACCAAAGAAGCCAAAGACAGGUUGGAGACAGAAAUUGAAUCAUUUCGUUCCCGCCUGAACACUGCUGUUCAAGAACUGGAACGUCAUCAGUCCUCAAAAGGUGACGUUGAAAGAACGUUUCAGAGAGAACGUGAUGAAUGGCUUCGCUUGCAAGACAAGCUCCAUCAUGACCUCUCUACUGUGCAAGAAACCACCAAGAGCUUGUCUCAGCAGCUAAGUACAGCUGAAAGCAAAGCUAACAGUCUAGAGAAUGAGCUCCACCAGUUGAAACAAACACUAAGAGAAAAAACAUCUCUUUUAGAAACAACACAAAAAGAGUUAAGUCAAGCCCAGUGUCAGGCAAAGGAACAUGAUCAAGCUCGACAACUCGAGAAGGAUCAAGUAAGCAAAUUGAUGAUAAAGCAGGAAUCCAUGCAGGAGCGACUGGCCCAGUUUCAGAGUGAAAACCUUCUACUCCACCAGCAACUGGAAGAUAUGCAGAACAAGGGGAUCAUCAAAGAAAAAGUAGUGAAUGAUGUGCAGGACCGGUUUAAUGAAAUUUUCAAUAAACUCAGAGCUGAUACUGAAAAGCAAGUUCACUUAGUGGAAGAGAGAAACAAGGAAUUAAGUGCCAGGUGUACCGAUUUAAGAGAACAAGUCUUUAAAUAUGAGUCUGACAAAGUAGAAAGAGAGAUCCAGAAUCUUUUGAGUGAGGGCAUGGUCAGACAGCUGCAGCAGGAGCUUGCUGAUGCUCUUAAAAAGCAAUCCAUGUCAGAAGCUUCGCUGGAAGUUUCUACGCGUUACCGCAAAGACCUGGAGGAAGAGAAGUUGCGCUUGCAAAAGGAAUUGGAAAAGGUUAAAACCAAGUUGCAGGAGCUGGAAGAACAGCAUCUUCAGUCUGAGCAUUCUAUUCAUGACUUGAAGAUUGCCUUGGAUAAUAAGGAAAGAGAAGUAAGAGAUUCUUCCCAAAAACUGCAGGACCUCCUUUUGACAUCUUCUGGGACUAACACUACUAUAAAACAACUGGAAGAACAUGUGCAACGCCUCGAAAUUGAAAAUGCAAGAUUGGAAGCUACAGUCCAGCAACAAAGCAAAAGGAUUGAAGCCCUUCAAAGAGACCUGCAAGCAUCUGCCUCGGUUCAUAAUCGCCUGGAAGACUUGAUAACUAGUUUACGGACAACCCAGGCAGCUGCAGAGGACAAGCACCAGCAGCAGAUGCAAAAGCAGAACGUGCUGACUCUGACAUCAAAGGACUUGCACAGCAUGUGGGAAGAGCAGUUGAAGUUGAGAUCACACCUUGAAGAGCGUGUUGCUCAGCUUGACAGGGAAAAGGCUGAACUCUUGGAACAGUGUGACAGUGAAAGACAGAAAGCGAAGAAGCUGGCAGAGUUGAAGCACUCAGUUGAACUGCGUCUGGACCAAGAAAUGGAAAGAAACAUCGAGCUGCAGAAAGACUGUAAGAGGUUGAAGAGACUUCUGAGCAGAGCUACAGGGAAACUAAGGGAAUAUGAGGAGAGAGAAAAAGUGUCCCAGCUGAAUUUGCAGGGAGAAAUAAGGAACAGGUAUUCUGAAAUGGUCACUGAAGUUGGUACAUUAAGAACAAAGGUUGCUGACCUUUCUCAACAGCUGGAGAGAGAGUCUAAAAAAUGCAUGCAGCUAGAAACACAAAAUCAAGAUUUGAGAGAAGAGUUGUCCACCAUGCGUGGGAACCACAAACAACUGGAGAAGAGCAACUGCCAGCUGAAAGAAGAGGUGACUAACCUCAAACAUCAUUUGGAGACUAACAUGGUGGAUCACAGGCAAAUAGAACAAUGUAAAAGAGAGAUGGAAGAACGAGCUGGACAAGAAAUAAGGCAAAUACUCCAAGAAGUCAAUCUGUUUUUGCAGGCACAGGCAGCCUCCCAGGACCGCUUAGAACAAAUCCGAGCCAGCCAUCAUGCUUCCCUGAGAAACCAGCUAAAACACAGAAUUAGAGAUCUUGAAUGGGAAUUGGACAAGAUAAAAAACACCCAACAAGACAGUAUUUUUCAAAAAGAAUCCACUCAGACAGAAGUGGAGAAAUACAAACAGCUGUAUCUGGAGGAAGUAAAAAGUAGAGGAUCCCUAGCGACUAAACUGGAAAGAGCUAAUGAGAAACUAGCAGAAGCCAAUGCUAAGCUCCUUCAGGAGCGCAACAGAAGAAAAUCUUUAAUUGCAAGUAGCAUCGUCAGUGGAGGUCUGGCUGCAAGCCCAGUUCUGUAUUCAACUGAACUGGGACAUCUUGGCAACAACCUGGCACUGAACAGAAGUCUAAGUCUAGGAGGAAGCUUCCUAAGUGCAAACGGGAAUGCAUUAUCAUCCAGAAGCAGGGUUGAAGCCUAUGUGGCUAAGCCAGAUACAUGACAAGGUUUGUAGCCAGUAUUGUUUAAUGUUGGAUGGUAUUUUAUACUGGAAAUAUUGUGUCUACUUAUGCUGUAUAGGUUUUGAUUAAAACUUAGUGAUGCAUUCACAUUUUUCUCAUAGUGCCAAUAUUUUUAAAUGGUUAGUGUGUCCAAGUGAAAGAAUGGCUGCUUUUAUCCUUUAUGUAUUUGUAAUGUUAUGGCUUCUGUGGUAGUUAAGGAUCUGUAAGAUGACAGUGUAUGGAUUUCACCUGUUAUAGUGGAACUUCUUUAAACUAUAGAAGUAGGCUUGUUUACCCCUCCUUGCCAGUUUUGUUACCCACUUGCCAGUAGUGUUCUGAAGUUUGAGUUCCUAGAGUAUCACCUCAUGGAGUCUUACACCAUCCAGCUUACUCUGUGCUCAAGCAACCUGUGUGGGUAAGCAGUAAGUCAACACUGCUUUCUGAAAAGGAAUUUGAGAAGGUGACUGCAGCAGGGAAACCCAGUAUGAAGAGUUGUGCAGUGAGGUGAGAAGUACCUUCUCAGGAGGUUUGGGAUAGCUAGUUGUGUUGUCUUUUCCAGGGGGCUGGGGAGGAAGAGAACAGUGGAGGCCAGUUAUACUCCUCAAAGGUGUAUUUUCCCUGGCUCUUCAUUCCCCUUUCAGAAAUCAGUGUGUUCUUGUUUCCACCUAUUUCUCUUUCCUCAGGCAUGGAUAAGAAUCAUAAAGAUGCUUGGGAAUCUGGGGGAUCCUUUUCUGAAAGUAGUUUCUUCUAACACAGCUGCUACUGCUUUGCUUAGGAUUGCUGCUGUUUUGGGGUCACCUUUUGGUCUAGGCAUUAGUUUUCCUGCUUUUUUGUGUCAUCUGCAUCCUAUUUCACGUUAGGGGUCUCUUCUCCCCAGGGUUUUACUGCUGUUUGUACCUACUUGAAAACUAUUAGAGGUUUGGGGAUCUGGAGAUUCCUUUUCCAUUGUUCUUUCAGCUCCAUGUUCCCCUCUUCUACCUGUGAAGGCACAGAGUAUUCCAACAAGGUACCACUGAGUGGUUCUUCUGGAGGAGCUGGUGAAUGUGCUUCCAGCUGUCCCUUUAGUCCUGGAGUGAAGGCCCUUCCCUCAGCUUUGCUGGUUUACGUCCCCACUUCUUUGGCCCAUGGAGUUACUGCCUGCUCCUGAGGGCAUGCAGAGUGAUUCCCUUCCUGAGGCUCUUGCUCUCCAUGGCCUGCUGAGUACAUGGUACAUGUUUCAGCUCUUUGUGGGCAUGUUGCUAGAAAUGCUUAAUUCCCCAGGGCUUCAGUACUAAAGCAAAAGAAAUGACGAAUGGGUGAGGGUGGACGAGGCCUCUGAAGGUGAUCUAGUCACACUCCACCCCUGCUUGAAAGUACAGUCGUCCGUAGCAGGUUGCUGAGGGUUAUGUCCAGUCAGGUUUUGUACAUCUCCAGGGUGGAUACUCCACAGCAUUUUCUGGGCAACUUCUUCCAGUGUUUGACCAUAUUUACAACUUGAAAAGGAAAGAAUAUGAAAAAAUCCUUAUGUUAAAGUGAAAUUUCCUCUAAUCUUGAUUUGUGCCCAUUCCUCUUAUUCUUUUUCUUGACACCACUGAGAAGAGUCUGGCUCCAUCUUUACUCCCCCCACCAGGUAUUUAUAUACCUAGAUAAGGUCCCCCUGAGCUUUGUCUAUUCCAGUAGAGAAACCAUCGCAGCUCUCUCAGCCUCUCCAUGUAGCUCGUGUAGUCCAAGCCCUUCAGCAUCUUCGUGGCCGUUGUAGGCCUGGAAGCUGAAUGGUGCCUGUUUUGAAGUUCACUUUAAUGAGUUACUAACUUGACAGAAAACAAUGUGCAAGUCACAUGUGUAAGCAACAGCAUAAAGUGCUUGGACUGUGACUUUUCAAAAGAUCUGAUUUCUUCUUAUGGGGACUUCAAAGUCAGAAUCAUAAGUGAUAAUAUAUUAAUUGGUACUAGAAGUAACCACCUCCUAGGGAAGAGAGGAGUAAGUGCUCUUUUCCUGUGAUCCAAGCUGAUUGUGGUUACCCAGUAAAACCCACAGCACUUCUGGUGCAGAAGCUGUGGUUGCUGCUGUCUUUCCCAAGUACAAAGGUCACAAGAAAAAGCUGUGUCUGUUUUUAUUUUUAUUUCAGUGUGUCAUGGCAUUUGCAAUAACAAUAAAUAAAAAUCUUGGCAUAAUCUUUAGGAUCUUUUUCAAUUCUCCAUCUUAAGGUGGAGAAAAUAAGAACAUCAGCUCAUUCUUUUGUCUGGACAAUGGUGUGUGUCAGUCCUGCAGCAGCUGCUGUUGCACCUCUUCUUUUAGGAAGUACAGAAGCCAGCCUCAAGGGAAUUUGUCCCUAUGGAUGGCAUUUGUCUAUAUCUGAGCAUUUAGCUGACAUUAUUCUCAUGCCUUUGAUGAUAAGACUUUAGCCACACCUUCAUUGCAGUGCCUCCACUGUGCUUUCUCCUGUUUAUUUUUAAAUGCCUCCUUAUAAUCCAGCUGGUGAGUUGCAUAUUGUUUGGGGCUACAGUCAAUGUUGCUCAGCAGUGAGAAUGCUACAGCCUGGCUGACCCAAGAGUUUCCCUUCAUUAAAAAUCCAACCCCAAACCAAGAUGUCUCCACUUGGGGUGAUUUUUUUUAGAUUUUAUCACAUUAUGUGUGGAUUUUAAGAAUGUGUUAGAAGUAUUGCCAAAAUGUUAAUUGCAUAUCUUCUGCAUUAUUCUAGAUGCAGCGGAAACUGGAUGAAAACAUCUCUAAAAUACUUGAAGAAGCCACUGCUGAUCUUGAAACUGCAUCUCCUGGAGCUUCUCCCAUGGUAUCUACUG